GACGAACGCUGGCGGCGUGCUUAACACAUGCAAGUCGAACGGAAAGGCCCUGCUUGCAGGGUACUCGAGUGGCGAACGGGUGAGUAACACGUGGGUGAUCUGCCCUGCACUUCGGGAUAAGCCUGGGAAACUGGGUCUAAUACCGGAUAGGAGCCAUUUUUAGUGUGAUGGUUGGAAAGUUUUUUCGGUGUAGGAUGAGCUCGCGGCCUAUCAGCUUGUUGGUGGGGUAAUGGCCUACCAAGGCGGCGACGGGUAGCCGGCCUGAGAGGGUGGACGGCGACCCGGGAGCUGAGAGACGGACACGGGUGUUAAGAGAGGCACAGGUGGGGAAUAGUGGGGAAGGGGGGCAAGGUGGGUGGAGCCAGACCGCGUGGGUUAAGAAGGAGUUGGGGUGGUAAAGCCUUUUUGUUGGGAAAGAAAAGCAGAAGGGUCAGACAACGCUGUUAUGACGGUACCGAGAGAAUAAGCACCGGCUAACUUCGUG
rnacentral:rRNA from 1 species